AUGUCGAGAAGUUCAUUGAGUGUUGUAAACAGAAAAGUUCAGGGUUCUUGUAAGCUUUUGGGUGAAACCAGUUUGGCUUCUGUUGAUUUGGUUUCUGAUGACAAUAAGGAAGAAUUGACUGUUCUUAAAUACCCAGAGCAUGACAAAGCGAACUCAGGCACCCUUUCUAUGCUGGAUGAGGUUUGUGUGCAUUCAAGUGUAGGCACCUUCAAUCAACCUGGAACUCCUGGGGCUAGUGACUGCAAUAAAAAUUUGUCUUCUACUGCUAAGGUAGAUAAUACCUGUGACAGUGAAGCAUCUCAAAAUGGAGCUUCAGCGAUAGAAUUAAAAUCAAAUGGUGCGUCAAGUUUUCCCAUGAAGUCAACAGUAAUUUUCAAGAGAAAAAGGAAGCCAAAUAGAAACUGGGUUCCUCAUGCUACAGAUUGUAUGACAACCAAUAAGGACGAGGAAUUCGAGGUUGAGUUGAGUGGAAGACUCACAGAUUCUCCAAAUUCAAAGAAUGAAUUUAAUAAGUCAGACGGAGAUGAACACUUGCCGUUGGUCAAAAGAGCAAGGGUUCGAAUGGGAAGGCCUCAGUCAGUGGCUUCACCAAAGACAGUUGGCCAGAUUGAUGUCCCUAAUAAUAGAUCAGGGCUUGCUGCACCUGCUGACCACUCUGUUAUGCAUAUUAGCAAUGCUUCUUCAGCUGACCAGUCAUCCAUAUUAAACAUACCUGUCCUGCUAGGGGAUGGUCACUCUGUCUGGAAGAAUAAAGAAUACCAACCAAGGGGUUUAACAUUGGAUGUGGAAGCUGCUUUGCCACCAUCAAAACGCCUCCAUCGUGCUUUAGAAGCUAUGUCUGCUAAUGUUGCGGAAACUAUUAGUAGUCUUCCUGAAGAGAGAGGAUCAAAGCAGUUGAUUCUAAAUGGUUGUGUGUCUGCAGAAAACAGCCAUUCUAGUAAAUCGGCAGACACAGUAGUCACAAGCCCUAGCAGAUCUGGAAUAAUUGAAAGCCUUGGAUCAUCAGGCAUGCAAUUAAUGCAUAGCUCAACAGGCCAAACACACACCUCAGGAUCAAUUUUACAGAAUAAAAAUGUAGUUGUUUCCAUGAAACUGAAUGAGCCUGCCCUUGAUGUGACACAGACCAUAGCUGUACAUGAUCGGUUAUCAUCUUCUCGGAAACCUAGCUAUAAUGAUGUCUCCAAGCUAAUCAGCUACAGUAGUGAUACAAAACCAAUCGGCUGCCCUGCUUUUGAUGUUAACAGGAGUGAUGACAGAUGCGGUGAGCCAGUUGACGGGCCAAAGUUUCUUCUCUCUGAUAAUAAUGUGAACAGUGAUUCAGUAUCACGUGGUGAUACUGUUUUAGCAUCAGCAAUCAAUAUUUGUGAUACCACAAGCUCCUCUUCAUUGGCUACCAAGUCUUCUAGUAUACAGUCUGAUGCAGAUACCCGAACAUCUGAAGUGCACACCUUCUCAGCUUUGGCAUUGAAAGAACUGAACCACAGAAACCUGAAGGAUAGGUGCACGUCUCCAGAUGCAAUGCCUAUGAAAGAACUCAUUGCUGUUGCCCAAGCUAGAAGGUUCUCUCGGUCAACUUCCUUUUCAGAUUACUUCUUGAACGGCAAGUAUAUUUCUAAACCUUUGGUCAGCACACCUCUUAAGGAAGGACAGGGACAGCUUUCACCUUCGAAUCAGAUAGACAGGUCCACCUCUACAAAUGACAGUGUUCAUUCUAGGAGUCGUUCUGAUAACCCACAAGAGAAUGAUGUGAAAAAAGUAGCAAGGAGCAACGAGGCUAAUGCAGCACGGAAGGCUUUUGGAGCUUUUCUUGGUAUGCUGACAAGAACAAAAGAAAACAUAGCAUGUGCAACACGUCUUGCUAUUGAUUGCGCUAAACAUGGCAUUGCUUGGGAGGCGAUUGAUAUUAUUGUUGAAUGCAUGGAAAAGGAAAAUUUAUAUAAGAGGGUGGACCUUUUCUUUCUUAUUGAUUCAAUAACUCAAUGCUCUUGCAAUCAGAAAGGGAAUUCUGCAGGUGGAACUGGUGAUGUAUUCCCCUCCGUUGUUCAGGUGGUUCUGCCUCGUUUACUUUAUGCCGCCGCACCUCCUGGAAAUUCGGCAUGGGAGAAUCGAAGGCAAUGUCUCAAGGUUCUGAAACUUUGGCUUGAGAGGAAAACACUUCCAGAAUACAUCAUUCGUCACCAUAUUAGAGAACUCGAGGUUAUCAAUGAGGCAUCUUUUGGCAGCUCUCGCCGUCCUUCAAGGACAGAGAGAGCUUUAAAUGACCCAUUGCGUGAUAACGAAGGAAUGCUUGUUGAUGAGUAUGGGAGCAAUGCUGGUUUUCACAUACCAAACUUAUUUGCACGAAAGUACUUGAAGACGAUGAAGGAAGCUCCUCUGAGGACAUUAGUUUUGAAGCCGUCACGCCUGAACAUGAGGCUCCAGGUGUUGAUGAGAAGGGAGAAUCUCAAAUACCUGUAG
rnacentral:rRNA from 1 species